rnacentral:tRNA from 2 species
GCCUCGGUAGCUCAGUUGGUAGAGCAGCGGACUGAAAAUCCGCGUGUCGGUGGUUCAAGUCCGCCUCGAGGCACCA